UUUACAUCAAUCAACACUAUUAGAUUGACGAACUCAAGAAAAUAGGAAAGAAAUUGGUCAUGAUGAAAAGCAAUUGCACCUCUUAAAACCGUUAGGGUUUCCCUCUCCUUCAUGAGAGUCUCUCCAUUAGGGAGAGUCUUCCCUGGCCAUGGAGGCCGUGAGCCUCAAGGCUUUCUUCUUUGGCGUCUACCUUGGAGGCCUGUGUCAGUGGGCAUGCAUGUGUUGGGUGUUUGUGUUAAUAAGGAUGAGAGGGUGGGUCAAUGCACGAAGGAGUUGGAGUAUGGCUUAGGGUUGCUUCUCUGGCGGCAAGGGCAUUGCAGAUUGUGAGUGUUUUCACUGAGAUAUAUAUUGACUUUGGCCUCAAAUCUGCAACGACUCUUCAAGGAAAAAGCUAUGAUCUAAUGGUAGGGAAGCAGAUGAUUGGAGCAAAGUAGAAUGAUCCUUUGAUAGGGCCAAUUUUUUGGGUUUUGAUUAAGAGCUGAGGAUGGAAAGGCAUGGAUCUGCAUCAAAUGUCAGGAAAUUGAGGGCUAAAUCAAUGAUGAUGUGCUUGGUGCAUUCAAACAUUCCAAAAUUUUCAAUGGUAGCUAUGUUUCAAUAUGGAUGGCAGAGAUUUAGGAAUGGUCAAAUCUAAACAACUUUUUUCAAAAUUCACUCGACUAGGUUUAGUACAAUCUUUCUAUAUCUAUUUUUACUCUUUUGUUGAAUGCCCUGUUUUGGUAUAACUAUUUGGCAUAUUUAGGUGCUACUGCAUUGGUAUCACCCCUAGCUUUGUUUUGGGAUUGGUGGAAAUGAGGGGUGCUUUAGAAAACUUAUUACUGGUUGUUGGGUGUUUGGUUGUAUCUGCCAUUAAAUCUAUCUUUUGGGAGUUUGCUUGGACUGAUUGCCUCUCCAUUUACUUUAGAAAGAUUACUCAAAUGAUUGUUAAGAAUAAGAGAUGGGUUCGACCGAGUGCUUUGAUUGGCGUCUCUAGUUUAUUAUUA